UUUAAUUGAUGACUUGUAUGAAGGAUUGGAUGAAAUAUAAACUGUCUCUUAAUUAUAUUUAGAAUUUAAUUUUUUAAUUAAAAAGUUAAAAUAAAUUAGAAAGACGAGAAGACCCUAUAGAGUUUUAUAAGUAAAAUUAAUUGAGAUUAUUUGUAAAGGUUAAAAUUAAGAUUAAUUUAUUUAUUUUGUUGGGGUGACAGAAAAAUAUGAAAAACUUUUUAUAUGUUUAAACAUUAAUAAGUGGUUAAAUGAUCCAAUAUUAUUGAUUAUAAGAAAAAAUUACCUUAGGGAUAACAGCGUAAUUUUUUUUUUUAGUUCACAUAAAAAAAAAAGUUUGCGACCUCGAUGUUGGAUUAAGAUAAAAUUUAAAUGCAGAAG
rnacentral:rRNA from 1 species